CUGGACAAGGGAAACAAAACACGGACAGUGUCUGGACAAGGGAAACAAAAAACACGGACAGCGUCUGGACAAGGGAAACAAAACACGGACAGCAUCUGGACAAGGGAAACAAAACACGGACAGCGUCUGGAUAGGGAAACAAAACACGGACAGCGUCUGGACAAGGGAAACAAAACACGGACAGCGUCUGGACAAGGGAAACAAAACACGGACAGCGUCUGGACAAGGGAAACAAAACACGGACAGUGUCUGGACAAGGGAAACAAAACACGGACAGCGUCUGGACAAGGGCAACAAAACACGGACAGUGUCUGGACAAGGGAAACAAAACACGGACAGCGUCUGGACAAGGGAAACAAAACACGGACAGUGUCUGGACAAGGGAAACAAAACACGGACAGCGUCUGGACAAGGGCAACAAAACACGGACAGUGUCUGGACAAGGGAAACAAAAGAACAUCAAUGCUGUCACGGGCAUCAAACUGAGGAAUAGACAGAUUUAAGGGAGGCAAUCAAUAAAGUGAUGGAGUCCAGGUGAGCCCAAUGAAGCGCUGAUGCGCGUAACGAUGGUGACAGCUGUGUGUAAUGAUGGGCAGCCUGGGAGGGGGAACGGGAGCAGGCAUGACAAGUAGGUUUUCCAGACCAUUAGUAAUUAUGUAAAUGCUGGAGUUGAAAUCUCAGUCCUUGACAUUAUAAUGAUGUAGAUUGAUAAUUAAUGGGAUAGAUUAUGCUUCUGCUAUUUUCUAUGUGGAUUUUGCCUUUUCCAGAUUUUUUAUAACAUAAAUAGCCGUCUUUUCUUGUGUACAUAUUUCUUCACUAUAUAUAGUUUAGACUUUUCCAGAUGUUUUUAUUACCUAAUGUUCUUUUCUCAGUGUCUAAUACGGAUAAUAUUGAUAACAGCUUUUGUAAUGUGUAUCGCUCUUGGACCAAGGUGCUCUUGAAAUGUACAAAUGAUCUACUUUGUAUUGUUGUCAGACAUUAUUGUGCAACAGCAUUCACGAACGUGAAUAUUAAUAACAUAAUCACACUUGUUUUCUUGUGACAUUAUUCAUUAUUACCUCCUUUAGAUAAAGUGUGAUUCAGUGUAAUGUAUGCAUCAUGUUGUAAAUUAGCUCACAAUAAAUACAAAAUAUUGUGUGAAUUA
ensembl:lncRNA